AUUGAACGCUGGCGGCAGGCUUAACACAUGCAAGUCGAACGAGUGGCGGACGGGUGAGUAAUGCCUGGGAAUCUAGCUUAUGGAGGGGGAUAACUACGGGAAACUGUAGCUAAUACCGCGUAUCAUAGGAUGAGCCCAUGGUGGUUUAGGUAGUUGGUGAGGUAAAGGCUCACCAAGCCGCCGAUCUCUAGCUGGUCUGAGAGGAUGACCGGCCACACUGGACAUGAGACACGGCCCAGCAUCCUACGGAGGGCAGCUGUGGGGAAUAUUGCGCAAUGGGGGCAACCUGACGCAGCCAUGCCGCGUGAAUGAAGAAGGCCUUCGGGUUGUAAAGUUCUUUCGGUAGCGAGGCGUUAACUACAGAAGAAGCACCGGCUAACUCCGUGCCAGCAGCCGCGGUAAUUC
rnacentral:rRNA from 1 species